rnacentral:tRNA from 2 species
GCCCCGGUGGCUCAGCUGGUAGACUGCCCAUGGGUAGGCCAAGAGUGCCGCCUUGGUAAGGCGGAGGUCGCGGGUUCGAUCCCCGCCCGGGGCUCCA